rnacentral:rRNA from 1 species
UACGUAGGGUGCAAGCGUUGUCCGGAAUUAUUGGGCGUAGAGAGCUCGUAGGCGGUCUGUCGCGUCGGCUGUGAAAACUCGGGGCUCAACUCCGAGCUUGCAGUCGAUACGGGCAGGCUAGAGUUCGGCAGGGGAGACUGGAAUUCCCGGUGUAGCGGUGAAAUGCGCAGAUAUCGGGAGGAACACCAGUGGCGAAGGCGGCCUUCUGGACCAGUACUGACGCUCAUGCACGAAAGCGUGGGGAGCAAACAGG